rnacentral:rRNA from 1 species
UACGUAGGGUGCGAGCGUUAAUCGGAAUUACUGGGCGUAAAGUGUGCGCAGGCGGCCGCGCAAGUCGAGUGUGAAAUCCCCGAGCUUAACUUGGGAAUUGCGCUCGAAACUACGUGGCUGGAGUGUGGAAGAGGAAGGUGGAAUUCCACGUGUAGCGGUGAAAUGCGUAGAGAUGUGGAGGAACACCGAUGGCGAAGGCAGCCUUCUGGGCCAACACUGACGCUCAUGCACGAAAGCGUGGGGAGCAAACAGG